rnacentral:rRNA from 1 species
GAUGAACGCUGGCGGCGUGCCUAAUACAUGCAAGUCGAGCGAACGGACGAGAAGCUUGCCUCUCUGAUGUUAGCGGCGGACGGGUGAGUAACACGUGGAUAACCUACCUAUAAGACUGGGAUAACUUCGGGAAACCGGAGCUAAUACCGGAUAAUAUUUUGAACCGCAUGGUUCAAAAGUGAAAGACGGUCUUGCUGUCACUUAUAGAUGGAUCAGCGCUGCAUUAGCUAGUUGGUAAGGUAACGGCUUACCAAGGCAACGAUGCAUAGCCGACCUGAGAGGGUGAUCGGCCACACUGGAACUGAGACACGGUCCAGACUCCUACGGGAGGCAGCAGUAGGGAAUCUUCCGCAAUGGGCGAAAGCCUGACGGAGCAACGCCGCGUGAGCGAUGAAGGUCUUCGGAUCGUAAAACUCUGUUAUUAGGGAAGAACAUAUGUGUAAGUAACUGUGCACAUCUUGACGGUACCUAAUCAGAAAGCCACGGCUAACUACGUG